GAUGAACGCUAGCUACAGGCUUAACACAUGCAAGUCGAGGGGAAACGACAUCGAAAGCUUGCUUUUGAUGGGCGUCGACCGGCGCACGGGUGAGUAACGCGUAUCCAACCUGCCCAUCACUUGGGAAUAACCUUGCGAAAGUAAGACUAAUACCCAUUGAUAUCCCACGAAGGCAUCGGAAUGGGAUUAAAGAUUUAUCGGUGAUGGAUGGGGAUGCGUCUGAUUAGCUUGUUGGCGGGGUAACGGCCCACCAAGGCAACGAUCAGUAGGGGUUCUGAGAGGAAGGUCCCCCACAUUGGAACUGAGACACGGUCCAAACUCCUACGGGAGGCAGCAGUGAGGAAUAUUGGUCAAUGGGCGAGAGCCUGAACCAGCCAAGUAGCGUGCAGGAAGACGGCCCUAUGGGUUGUAAACUGCUUUUAUAAGGGAAUAAAGUGGGUCACGUGUGACUUUUUGCAUGUACCUUAUGAAUAAGGACCGGCUAAUUCCGUG
rnacentral:rRNA from 1 species